AGAGUUUGAUCCUGGCUCAGGACGAACGCUGGCGGCGUGCCUAAUACAUGCAAGUAGAACGCUGAGGUUUGGUGUUUACACUAGACUGAUGAGUUGCGAACGGGUGAGUAACGCGUAGGUAACCUGCCUCAUAGCGGGGGAUAACUAUUGGAAACGAUAGCUAAUACCGCAUAAGAGUAAUUAACACAUGUUAGUUAUUUAAAAGGAGCAAUUGCUUCACUGUGAGAUGGACCUGCGUUGUAUUAGCUAGUUGGUGAGGUAAAGGCUCACCAAGGCGACGAUACAUAGCCGACCUGAGAGGGUGAUCGGCCACACUGGGACUGAGACACGGCCCAGACUCCUACGGGAGGCAGCAGUAGGGAAUCUUCGGCAAUGGACGGAAGUCUGACCGAGCAACGCCGCGUGAGUGAAGAAGGUUUUCGGAUCGUAAAGCUCUGUUGUUAGAGAAGAACGUUGGUAGGAGUGGAAAAUCUACCAAGUGACGGUAACUAACCAGAAAGGGACGGCUAACUACGUGCCAGCAGCCGCGGUAAUACGUAGGUCCCGAGCGUUGUCCGGAUUUAUUGGGCGUAAAGCGAGCGCAGGCGGUUCUUUAAGUCUGAAGUUAAAGGCAGUGGCUUAACCAUUGUACGCUUUGGAAACUGGAGGACUUGAGUGCAGAAGGGGAGAGUGGAAUUCCAUGUGUAGCGGUGAAAUGCGUAGAUAUAUGGAGGAACACCGGUGGCGAAAGCGGCUCUCUGGUCUGUAACUGACGCUGAGGCUCGAAAGCGUGGGGAGCAAACAGGAUUAGAUACCCUGGUAGUCCACGCCGUAAACGAUGAGUGCUAGGUGUUAGGCCCUUUCCGGGGCUUAGUGCCGCAGCUAACGCAUUAAGCACUCCGCCUGGGGAGUACGACCGCAAGGUUGAAACUCAAAGGAAUUGACGGGGGCCCGCACAAGCGGUGGAGCAUGUGGUUUAAUUCGAAGCAACGCGAAGAACCUUACCAGGUCUUGACAUCCUUCUGACCGGCCUAGAGAUAGGCUUUCUCUUCGGAGCAGAAGUGACAGGUGGUGCAUGGUUGUCGUCAGCUCGUGUCGUGAGAUGUUGGGUUAAGUCCUGCAACGAGCGCAACCCCUAUUGUUAGUUGCCAUCAUUAAGUUGGGCACUCUAGCGAGACUGCCGGUAAUAAACCGGAGGAAGGUGGGGAUGACGUCAAAUCAUCAUGCCCCUUAUGACCUGGGCUACACACGUGCUACAAUGGUUGGUACAACGAGUCGCAAGCCGGUGACGGCAAGCUAAUCUCUUAAAGCCAAUCUCAGUUCGGAUUGUAGGCUGCAACUCGCCUACAUGAAGUCGGAAUCGCUAGUAAUCGCGGAUCAGCACGCCGCGGUGAAUACGUUCCCGGGCCUUGUACACACCGCCCGUCACACCACGAGAGUUUGUAACACCCGAAGUCGGUGAGGUAACCUUUUAGGAGCCAGCCGCCUAAGGUGGGAUAGAUGAUUGGGGUGAAGUCGUAACAAGGUAGCCGUAUCGGAAGGUGCGGCUGGAUCACCU
rnacentral:rRNA from 1 species